rnacentral:rRNA from 1 species
GGGGAAUAUUGGGCAAUGGGCGCAAGCCUGACCCAGCAACGCCGCGUGAAGGAAGAAGGCUUUCGGGUUGUAAACUUCUUUUAAGAGGGAAGAGCAGAAGACGGUACCUCUAGAAUAAGCCACGGCUAACUACGUGCCAGCAGCCGCGGUAAUACGUAGGUGGCAAGCGUUGUCCGGAUUUACUGGGUGUAAAGGGCGUGCAGCCGGGUCUGCAAGUCAGAUGUGAAAUCCAUGGGCUCAACCCAUGAACUGCAUUUGAAACUGUAGAUCUUGAGUGUCGGAGGGGCAAUCGGAAUUCCUAGUGUAGCGGUGAAAUGCGUAGAUAUUAGGAGGAACACCAGUGGCGAAGGCGGAUUGCUGGACGAUAACUGACGGUGAGGCGCGAAAGUGUGGGGAGCAAAC